UACAGAGGGGGCAAGCGUUGUUCGGAAUUACUGGGCGUAAAGGGCUCGUAGGUGGCCAACUAAGUCAGACGUGAAAUCCCUCGGCUCAACCGGGGAACUGCGUCUGAUACUGGGUGGCUUGAAUCCGGGAGAGGGAUGCGGAAUUCCAGGUGUAGCGGUGAAAUGCGUAGAUAUCUGGAGGAACACCGGUGGCGAAGGCGGCAUCCUGGACCGGCAUUGACGCUGAGGCGCGAAAGCCAGGGGAGCGAACCGG
rnacentral:rRNA from 1 species